GCCGGGCGCGGUGGCGCACGCCUGUAGUCCCAGCUACUCGGGAGGCUGAGACAGGAGGAUCGCUUGAGUCCAGGAGUUCUGGGCUGUAGUGCGCUAUGCCGAUCGGGUGUCCGCACUAAGUUCGGCAUCAAUAUGGUGACCUCCUGGGAGCAGGGGACCACCAGGUUGCCUAAGGAGGGGUGAACCGGCCCAGGUCGUAAAACUUGGUUUCCUACAUCAAGGCUAAUGUUUGUAUGGCAAGAGCGAACAUUGAAAGAACAAAAUGAUAAUUU
ensembl:misc_RNA Metazoa_SRP Metazoan signal recognition particle RNA